rnacentral:rRNA from 1 species
GAUGAACGCUGGCGGCGUGCCUAAUACAUGCAAGUCGAGCGAACGGACGAGAAGCUUGCUUUUCUGAUGUUAGAGGCGGACGGGUGAGUAACACGUGGAUAACCUACCUAUAAGACUGGGAUAACUUCGGGAAACCGGAGCUAAUACCGGAUAAUAUUUUGAACCGCAUGGUUCAAAAGUGAAAGACGGUCUUGCUGUCACUUAUAGAUGGAUCCGCGCUGCAUUAGCUAGUUGGUAAGGUAACGGCUUACCAAGGCAACGAUGCAUAGCCGACCUGAGAGGGUGAUCGGCCACACUGGAACUGAGACACGGUCCAGACUCCUACGGGAGGCAGCAGUAGGGAAUCUUCCGCAAUGGGCGAAAGCCUGACGGAGCAACGCCGCGUGAGUGAUGAAGGUCUUCGGAUCGUAAAACUCUGUUAUUAGGGAAGAACAUAUGUGUAAGUAACUGUGCACAUCUUGACGGUACCUAAUCAGAAAGCCACGGCUAACUACGUG